rnacentral:rRNA from 1 species
CACCUCUAGCAUUACCAGUAUUAGAGGCACCGCCUGCCCGGUGACAUGUGUUUAACGGCCGCGGUACCCUGACCGUGCAAAGGUAGCAUAAUCACUUGUUCUUUAAAUGAGGACUUGUAUGAAUGGCUCCACGAGGGUUCGACUGUCUCUUACUUUUAACCAGUGAAAUUGACCUGCCCGUGAAGAGGCGGGCAUAACAUAACAAGACGAGAAGACCCUAUGGAGCUUCAAUCUACCAGUGCAAAUAACAUAUAACAAGCCCACAGGCCCUAAUUCACCAAACCUGCACUGAAGAUUUCGGUUGGGGCGACCUCGGAGUAUAACCCAACCUCCGAGAAACACAUGUUAAGACUUCACAAGUCAAAACAAACUUCCACACACAAUUGAUCCAAUAACUUGACCAACGGAACAAGUUACCCUAGGGAUAACAGCGCAAUCCUGUUCUAGAGUCCAUAUCAACGACAGGGUUUACGACCUCGAUGUUGGAUCAGGACAUCCCAAUGGUGCAGCCGCUAUUAAAGGUUCGUUUGUUCAACGAUUAAAGUCCU